rnacentral:tRNA from 1 species
GCCGCAGUCGUCUAGGGGUCAGGACACUAGUUUGUGGUCAUCAAUCUCAAACACUGGAAACCGAGGUUCGAGUCCUCGCUGCGGCA